CCUACGGGAGGCAGCAGUCGAGAAUCAUUCACAAUGGGGGAAACCCUGAUGGUGCGACGCCGCGUGGGGGAAUGAAGGUCUUCGGAUUGUAAACCCCUGUCAUGUGGGAGCAAAUUAAAAAGAUAGUACCACAAGAGGAAGAGACGGCUAACUCUGUGCCAGCAGCCGCGGUAAUACAGAGGUCUCAAGCGUUGUUCGGAAUCACUGGGCGUAAAGCGUGCGUAGGCUGUUUCGUAAGUCGUGUGUGAAAGGCGCGGGCUCAACCCGCGGACGGCACAUGAUACUGCGAGACUAGAGUAAGGGAGGGGGAACCGGAAUUCUAGGUGUAGCAGUGAAAUGCGUAGAUAUCGAGAGGAACACUCGUGGCGAAGGCGGGUUCCUGGACAUUAACUGACGCUGAGGCACGAAGGCCAGGGGAGCGAAAGGGAUUAGAUACCCCAGUAGUC
rnacentral:rRNA from 1 species